CGGCAACAGCUCAAAUUUGAAAUCUGGCCCUCUAUGGGGGUCCGAGUUGUAAUUUGCAGAGGGCGCUUUGGCGUCGGUAGCGACCUAAGUUCCUUGGAACAGGACGUCACAGAGGGUGAGAAUCCCGUACGUGGUAGCCUACCUUCGCCGUGUAAAGCCCCUUCGAC
rnacentral:rRNA from 1 species